AUUGAACGCUGGCGGAAUGCUUUACACAUGCAAGUCGAACGGUAGAGGGGGCAACCCCUUGAGAGUGGCGAACGGGUGAGUAAUAUAUCGGAACGUGCCCAGUCGUGGGGAUAACGUAGCGAAAGUUACGCUAAUACCGCAUACGAUCUAAGGAUGAAAGCGGGGGAUCGCAAGACCUCGCGCGAUUGGAGCGGCCGAUAUCAGAUUAGGUAGUUGGUGAGGUAAAGGCUCACCAAGCCAACGAUCUGUAGCUGGUCUGAGAGGACGACCAGCCACACUGGAACUGAGACACGGUCCAGACUCCUACGGGAGGCAGCGGUGGGGAAUUUUGGACAAUGGACGCAAGUCUGAUCCAGCCAUUCCGCGUGCAGGAUGAAGGCCCUCGGGUUGUAAACUGCUUUUGUACGGAACGAAACGGUGAGCUCUAAUACAGUUUGCUAAUGACGGUACCGUAAGAAUAAGCACCGGCUAACUACGUGCCAGCAGCCGCGGUAAUGU
rnacentral:rRNA from 1 species